CCUACGGGUGGCAGCAGUGGGGAAUAUUGGACAAUGGGGGCAACCCUGAUCCAGCCAUGCCGCGUGUGUGAAGAAGGCCCUCGGGUUGUAAAGCACUUUCAGUGAGGAAGAACGCCUGGUGGUUAAUACCCAUCAGGAAAGACAUCACUCACAGAAGAAGCACCGGCUAACUCCGUGCCAGCAGCCGCGGUAAUACGGAGGGUGCGAGCGUUAAUCGGAAUUACUGGGCGUAAGCGCGCGUAGGUGGCUUGAUAAGCCGGUUGUGAAAGCCCCGGGCUCAACCUGGGAACGGCAUCCGGAACUGUCAAGCUAGAGUGCAGGAGAGGAAGGUAGAAUUCCCGGUGUAGCGGUGAAAUGCGUAGAGAUCGGGAGGAAUACCAGUGGCGAAGGCGGCCUUCUGGACUGACACUGACACUGAGGUGCGAAAGCGUGGGUAGCAAACAGGAUUAGAUACCCCGGUAGUC
rnacentral:rRNA from 1 species